rnacentral:lncRNA from 1 species
GAUGUUCCCUCUUUCAGCACCUUCUGAAGGUUGGCUAGUUUUCCUGCCCUGGGUUUCCAUGCGAUUGGUUGGUACUUUUCUUUCUUUCUUUCUUUUUCAGUCUUGAAAAAUGUUUAUUUGUUGACAUGUAGAAAAAAGAUGAAACUACCAGAAAUUGGUUCAUAGAGUGAAGGGAGAAAUGAAGCUUUUCCACCAGCUUAGCACAGACUGUGCUAUACAACGGUCACAAUCCUGACAGCGGAGUUUCUAACGCAGAAAUGGAAUCCAGUGCUACAGAGAAGCUCAGAGCACUUAGGACAUUGAGAAGGCGGGUUUGUUUUCCCAGGCAGUAAAUAUAUGCU